GACCGUGCUAAGGUAGCAUAAUCAUUUGCCUCUUAAUUAGAGGCUGGAAUGAAUGGACACACGAAAUCUUUACUGUCUCAUAAGUUUUAAUAAAAGUUUUUCUCUGAGUGAAGAAACUCAGAUUAAUUUGAAAGACAAGAAGACCCUAAUGAGCUUUAAUUCUGUUAUAUUCCUCACCGAAAUUUUAAUUAUCUAGAAAAUAUCGCAGAAUUUUUGUUGGGGCGACAAAAGAAACACAAUUACUUCUUUACAUUAACUUAGAGCAAUAACUCUCUACAAUUGACCUAAUUUUAAUUAAUCAAUAGCACUAGCUACCAUAGGGAUAACAGACUAAUUUUUCUCCAGAGCUCAAAUUUACAGAAAAGAUUGGCACCUCGAUGUUGGCUUAGGA
rnacentral:rRNA from 1 species